GUUGUCUUACUCUCCUGCAUUUGACCGAGAAAAUCUUUCGCCUUUUACUAAAGAUUUCCGUGCAGGAGAGUAUUCAUGAUUGUAAUGAUAUUUUUUGGAAGUCCCGCAAGGGGCA
rnacentral:snRNA from 1 species